AAGCAAUCGACCCCUCAUUUGACUCCUAUAUCCUUCUGAGAGGGAGUAAUACUUGAAUGAAGUUAUAAUUUACAAAUAAUCACCUUUCAGUAAGAUGUGUCUGAGUAAACAGAGGAGUUGGAGGAUGUGAAAUACCCAAACAGAAGUGGCGGUUCAGCUUUUACAGCCUUCAGUGAAUAGAGUCUUUCCAACCGUACUAUAUUCUGAACAACCGGAGACUCUGGUGACCCCGCUGGUAUCGUGAACUGUCUAACUCAAUGCUCCAUCACUUGCCUCCUCUCUCAGAACCAUCACAAGCAGAGCUGAUCUGGAAUUGCUGUCUAGUCUAAUUUCUUUGCAGAUCUCUCCUAGGCAAGUACUUGUUUGAACUACCCUCCUCUAUUUUUACUUCCAUGGUAAGUCGGCCUUCCUUCUGCCCUGUUUUUCAACAGUUAUAAAGAAAGCAAGUAAAUUCUUUGUUUUGCAAUCUGUCCCAGUCAUUAGAUAACGUCACACUAUAACCUUGAGGUUUAACCAUGGGAUGAAGAAAGACUGUGAAGACAAAAUGCAGCCGAGUUCUCACACUGAGGGAAAGUUGACGGGUAGAUGGGCUAUCUGAAAAGCCAGAACGCAAGGCUAGUUUGUAAAGAUCGUAGCCAGGUCUUUAACUGGUUCUUUCAGAGUCAGCUGAUGGUUGGUUGGUUGGUUGGGAAGCUUCUCAGGUACACUGGGCUCUAGGAGGAACUCCGGGACUUGGCUGGCUAAGCUGGUGGGAUCAGAAGUACUCCCCCCGGAGGAAAUGAGGAGCUCCUUCGGUGCCUCCUUGCUUCUGUGGAUGGAACGAGGGAACAGGGGCACCUGAAUGAAAUAGAAAAAAAGGGAAGCAUUUAUCAUUUCUAUUUUUUAAGAUUAUUUAUUUAUUUAUUUAUUUAUUCAUUUAUUUAUUCAUUUAUUUAUUUAUGUGAGUCCACUAUAGCUGUCUUCAGACACACCAGGAGAGGGCAUCAGAUCCCAUUACAGAUGGUUGUGAGCCACCAUGUGGUUGCUGGGAGUUGAACCCAGGACCUCUGGAAGGGCCGUCAGUGUUCUUAACCACUGAGCCAUCUCUCCAGCCUGCAUUUAUCGUCUCUAAUGGCUGAGAAUUGGUCACAUAACUCUGAUACUGCUCUGUGUCCAUGGUGCGUAUUGCCUACAUUUCCCUCGUGUUUUGUCUUGUCUUGUGUUUUUGUUUGCUCUCUUUCUUUCUGGAGAUGACCUAAUGAGCCUAAGUUCUUAAUUUUAGAGUAGUCAAUUUUAUCAACCUUCUCAAAAUUAGCACGUUAUAUUUUUAAUUUUAAAACUCUUCUCUGUUUUCUUUCAAAAGUUUUCAAGUUUACCUUCUGACUCUUAAGUUCUUAAUCCAGGUAUAGUCGGUGCUGGUAACCCACAUAUUCUCCCUGGCUCAGCUUGGUUUAUAAUUUCCCUUUUAGCCAGUGAUCUUCCUCCUGAUACAAACUCACAGCUACCCCAAUCCAUCACAGAUUCCCUGUUCUUUUCCACUGGCAAAUUUAAAAAAAGUAACAUUCCAGACCAUCUACCGUCACUCGUAAGUGAUAUUGCUCUUUAUAAUAGCUUUGAAAUUUAGUAUUAUAACAUGUCCAAUAUUAAUUUAGACAGUUUGGUUAUCAUAAAUGGUUAGAUAGAUGAAUGAGUAAGCUUUGAGUGGACCUGAGGUGAACCAGGAUUACGAACCUGAGGUCUGAAGGUUGCAAAGGAUGGGGAAUACAAGGGCUACUAUUGAGUAUAAAUUAGGUUUUUGAAAAUCCAAGUUUUUACUUGUUUUUUCCCCCAAAAUCGUGAUUUCAUUGGUUUGUUCUAAUAAUGAUGUUUAAAGCUUGGUGUGAUAGCCCAUACAUAAAAUCCCAGCACAUAGGCGUUAUGCGAUGAUGUUGAGGAAAAGAAAGUAAAAAAUGAAUAAAUAAAUAAAUUUAUAUCAACCUAAUAAAAAUGAGACAGUUCAUGUGUUGGUUCAAAUAAAUCACAAUUUUGAGGAAAGUUUGUUAACCAUUUUUUACCUUGUUUGAGGGUAAAUAGUAUCUAUACUUUAUAUAACAUGUAGCAUAGUAUUAUUGUGUGGUAUAUAUUUGCAUGGUAUAUUUACACAACUUACAUAGUAUAUUGCUGUUAAAAUUAGUAGCAUCUACCCAUUAGAUAAUUGAGGGACUAACAUACAGCUAAGUGGUAGAGACUAUCAUAGAGGAAUCAUAUAUUUUUGAAUCCUUAGUUCAAACAAAUUUUAUUAGGAAGUUAUUACUGUGUGCUUGCGAAUGCAGAUGUGCGAGGGACUGCCUGUUCCAUGGGCACAUGCGUGGAGGCUGCAGGGUGACUUUGUAGAAUUAUUUCUCUACUUUCACCUUUACGUAGGCCCUAGGGAUUGGAUUCAGGUCACCCUGGCAAAAGCUUUUCUCUACUGAGCCAUCUUGUCAGCCUCCAAAUGGUUUUAUAGACCGAAAUUCUUCAAGUGGGGAUAAAAAAAGGUUUGCAUUUAUGAUCUCAUAUAGUUAAUCAAAGUAUGCAGCUUCUGUGCUGUGAUGCAAGUAGAGCAAAGUAAAUGACACAUCGACAAUCCAGCGGGGGACACACGCGCACUGUGCUAGAGCUCAGGAAGAGCUACGCAGGGAGAUGCAUGAGCCAAGACACACAGCCCGUGAUGUUCUAGCUUUCAUUCAAGCUAAGAAUUCAAAGGAACCCAAGAGAAAGCUGUCAGAGCACUCAGAGUAGUAAGUGUGAAUUAACUCACUGCAAAAUGUGGGCAUUGGUGUUGAGCGAAUGUGGGCAGAAUACCAGAUGCCCCUGACGACAGUGAGAGGUACCGGUCUUCCAGCAAACCGUCUCAUACUGUUGGAAGUCAUCGUCAUAGCGUCUUACGAGUGUUCAGACUGCCAUCGCAGUUCAUUGGGGAAUCAUGACCAAGACUGCUUUAAAUGGAUAGUAUUGUACAUACAUACAUACAUACAUACAUACAUACAUACAUACAUACAUACAUACAUUAUAUAUACACACUGUGUGUAGAUAUUUCUUUAAUUUUAUCCAUAAAUUACAGAUUUAUUAGAGACCUGGUUGGCUGUAUUUUUAUGAAUCUUCAUGGCAUAGAAAAUGGAGUACAAGGCAUAUACUCUCUAUAAGAAAUAAGUAUCAGUCUGUUAAACUUCUGCUUCAGUUACACACAGGUUUUUCUCUAUAUAGGUGUGUAUUGGCUGUAAUAUAAACCAUAUUUCUUACUGGAGUAAACAGAAGAGUCUGCAGAUAGCUGCAAAGACCAGUACAUGACCAACUUUGUUCUGUCCCAAGGCUGGGCAGCACUUGCUUCUUCCACAGAUUUAUACUUUGUUGCCCAUCUCUUGGGUUUGCCAGCAGGCAGCAAUCUUUUUAAAAAAUAAUCUCUCUUCUUAUAGCUGUUCCCAAGGUUGAAAGUUCUCUAUGUGGCUUCCCAAAUAUUUAUAGCUUAGCCAUAAAUACAUGCAUGUAGAAGUUGUCCCAUCUUUCAAGUCUUUACCCUGCCUAUUCAACUUGGAGUGACCCUCUUCAGCAGUAAAUAGUGUGAGAAUCCCAUUGUUCCUGCACAUUGUAUGAUUUCCGGUCCGAUGGAAGAAUGUCUCGAGAACUCUGCAGACCAGUCAGUCUUGUACUGUGGUUUCCAAAAUGUGCAUGGCUUAUUUUUCUGUUCUUGUGUAGAAGAGUGUCUGCUCACAAAGGGUACUGCAUAGGCAAUUAUGCUAGCCCAGAAGAGCAAGUCUGUAAUUAUUCUGUAACAACUGCUUGAAUCCUUUAUUUCCUAGAUGGACUCUGUGAGGUUUUGAAAUUGAGAAAACAAUAUUUUGAACCAAUGAAGUUGAAAUUGUCAGCACUUUCUCCCAGGGCUCAUUUUUCAAAAGUUCCUGAAACAAUAAAAGAUAAAUCUUUGUGGAAACAGGAUAAAUUGAUUUUAUGUAUGGAAUCUAGUCAUGUUGGCUUUUCGUUGUUGUUGUUGUUUUUAUAUCUUUUUAAAAGUACUGUGAGCAUAACAAGACAAUCCAGGAACCUUCAGAAGGUCAGCCUCUGAGGGCAGUUUUGCACUUCAAAUGUGCACACAUUUAGUGGGUGCCUCAUAGAUGAGAAACAACCCAGAAGAGAAUCAAAGCAUUAGAACAAAGAACCAGCCAAAAGCAAUAGGCCAAUAGGUUGGAGACUGAAUGUUCCCUUCUCGCAAUUGUUAGGUGAUUCUGACUUCAGUGAGAACUCUCUCGGGAGACGUGUGUGCCUGUGUGAGCAGGAAAUGUGCCUGCAGGUGAUGGACAGAAUGUGGAGCCUCAGUGACGUCAGUUCUCGGCUCCAAGGAGAGGAAAGUGGAAGCAAAUUGUCUAUGAGAUAAUGGUAAGAGACGUUCCAGGGUGCGUGUGCUUUCCAAUUUCACCAUUUAGUUUUUCAUAGACGAGGGGGGUAAAAAGGCUUUGAAAAAUAGCAUUAAGUUUAUUCCUGACAAGACAGAUGUGUUUCAUUGCAUAAUAAGAUAGUAUUUUGAGGCAAUUAGGAAAGAAUACAUGUAUUCCUCAAGAACACAUUCCACCUGUAACAACGAGAUCUUUCCUUACCUUUGACAUGUGCGUCUUAUGCAUGUUCAUAGCACAGCCCUGUCAUAAUUCUUUUUCUAUGGUUUUCCAUGAUCAGGAGAUAGUCCAUCAUCCUGUGACCAAUUGAGAGUGACUGGUGAAUGGUCAAUGUCCUCCAGAUUGUCCUUGGUCUCAACAUGCCAAUAUUACAAUAAUAUUAUCGUUGGUGUGUCCGGAGUACUUUGAGUUGAUAAGAAUUGCUCACACUGUAAAAGGUGAACCAUUACAGCCUUUUAUUCUGCUAAGACACGCUUAGAUUUCUCAGAACCUGAGAAACUUGAGAUGCCCAUUUCAAAUAAGGAUUCAAUUCUCCAUGGGAGAAGGCUUGGUAAAUCCAUUAUUAGGACUAAAUGUAUAAACCAUUUUUUAAAAAGGCAGCUUUUUCUCUGAAUUAUUUGUUGUUUUCUGCAGAUAUUAAUAUUUUUAUGGAAAGAUGGUUUUAUAGUUAAGGAUUAAAAUUAUUAUGCUUAAAGGGGUUGGCUCAGCAUGUGAAAAAAGCACUUGUCACCAAGCCUUGUGACCCGAGCUCAAUCUGAAACCAAACUGUAAGAGGAGAGAAUGCACCCCUGCAAGUAGCCCUCUGCUUUUCACAUGCUCAGCUUGCUUUGUCAUCAAAUGCGCGCACGAUAUACAUAAUAGAUAUGUAUACAAAUUUAAAUAUCAAAUUUAAAUAUUGCAUACGCAAUAAAAUAUAUCUUAUGCUCCCCAGUUACUCUUGGAGUUUUCUCUGUGACACUUUCAUACUCCAUGACAAGAUACUGGAUGAAACACAGGAUAUCUUGAGUGUUAUCUACUGUGCUAGAUUAUAAACAAGUAGCACAUGAUAUUAAAGAAAUCACCCCAUGUUAUUUUUGAUGCUGACAAGUACUGGACCUUGGCAUUUAUGACUUGCACAACAAAUGAGCAGAACGUCCACUUUGGUUCCAUAAAUUAGUUAACGACAAAGAAGAUUGCUUCUUGCUAAUGAAGAGCCACUCAAGAGUAGGUCCUUGACUUUUAUGUCUUGUAAACCUUCCCGUUUUAGAGUGCUAGAUUCUUAUAUUUAAAGAAAACACACAUCUGUGUUUAUAGCAGAUGGUAUGUUGACGUUUCCUAUUAUUAUUCAUUCUUCUGUCCAUUGCUACAGAUGUUACAAGUGUCUUCUACGUGUCUCCCCACUCCCACAGGCUGAAAAUAGAACCCAGUUUUAAACAUAGCAUUAAAGGAAGAAACGGAGGGGAAAUGCAAGGGAAAACCUGGUGUGUUACAAAAUUAACUUUGACCUCUCAUCACUUGGUCACUUUGAAAAGCAAGGAACUUUCAGUACAGUCAAAGCAACUUUCUUGUUUGUUUCAUAGAUACAUGUGAAAGGAAAUUACUUCACUUUUAAAAACUGGGCAUUGUAUAGCACUGUAUUCACAGGGGAUGAUAAAUCUCAUUUGAAAAGCCACAAAUUCUUUUUCAAUUUAUUUAGUCCUACUUAUUGAUCUAUUUUUGAAAUUUUAUGUACUCGACUACUUAUCUGCAUGAAAGUCUGUGUACCACAUGUGUGCAGUGACCAAGGAGGCCAGAAGAGGGUAUAGGAUCCCUAGGACUGGAGGAAUAGACUGUUGUGAGCUGCAAAAUGGUGACUGAGAAAUGCGUCUGGGUCAUCCGGAAGAUCAGCAAGUGAGCUUAACCUCUGAACCAACUCUCCAGCCCUGUAUCACUCUUAUAAUGAACAAAUACUCAGUUUCAAAUUCUGCACAGUUCAAUGUUUAACUUAGUGACAUUUGUCCAAAGUUAUAAAUUCCAUUACCAGAGAAUACACUGGUGAAACCCAGAUAUAAAGCAUCACAAAGACUCAGGAUGAAUUCAUUGGUGCAGUGGCUCAAAUCAGCAGAUACUGAGGCUCCGCUGGUCACAACCCUAGGUUUUACACUGCCCUCUUCCCUCUACAGAUCAGGGCCAGGACAUAGACAGUGACUCAUUGAGGAUCUACCAUGUAGUCCGCACAUUCAGAGUCACUUCUCUUGCUUCCACUGUUUUAUUUAUUCUUUGAUGAUAUGAUACACAUGUAAAAUGCAUUUGAUCAUAUGCAUCCUCCAUCACCUUGUCUAACUUCUCUCUCACUCCCGCUGAAUGCCUUCCCCCAAGAGUCUUUCUCUUACUUUCAUGUCUUUGGGGGCACUGACCCAGUGAGUUUAAUAGGAUUGCUGUCUCGUGAGCAUGGAGCAAGUUCUUCCCACAAUGUCAGAAUUUGGAAGAACUUUGGGAAACAAGAAAACAAACGAAUAAACAAAAACAAGAAGAAGGAAAAAAAAACCACUUCAUCCCAAAAACUGUCUAUCUGAGACUUGAGAACAGGUCUUAGCUCAUUCUCCAUAAAAAAAAUAACAAACAAACAAAAUACCACACAAAACAAAAACCUGUUUCUAAUGAGGACAUUAACUCCCGUUCAUUGCUAGUUGUGAGUGAAAUUUAGGGCAUAAACUGCCUUUGAAAGGUUCCUAAGGAAAAGAGAGGUCAAGCACAGUUUUUGUAAAUGGCACUUUCAUCUAAUUGGCCGGUGGAAAGGUAGGGGGUUACUUUAAAGUGGCUUUAUGUAACUAACAUUUCCCAAGGUUUACUUUAACAAGAAGAAAGGAAAGUGACAUUGCAUGAGAUCGCAGAAUAAAGGACUUGUAUCAUUGAGCCACUGUUCUUGGGAAAUUAAUAGACUCCCAAAUCAGGCAAGAUGAUUAAUACUGGCUUUCAUCUGAUCUAUCAGCCACAGUGACAGGCACAGCAUGCCCCUGACUUUUCCUGGCAGUGCCAUUUAAUAAGAAAGAGAGAGGCUAAGAGAAGAUGAUGGAAGGGGGAAAUACACAAGCUUUCUGUACUGGGCAAAAAAACUUCUUGAUUGACGGGCUGAGCUUCUCAUGUUCAGUUCUUUAUCAGCUCUUGGUAAGUAGACAUUUUCUGGCUAAGACCACAGCCAAAAGGUGUUAGGUUUUUUUUUUUAGAGCACAGAUGACAAUUUUAUAGGAGAAAGUGAUGAACACUUUCAUACUUCUAAAGGAAAUGGCAUUUGCAAAGAUAUAAAUAAUGAUGAAGAGGAGAGAGGAUGGGCUGAUCGUGGGUGGGACUUACAGUAAAAUUACUGUGAAAGUUUGGCUAAAGUAAAUCAGUUUCUGAAGACUGGAAGGCUGGGUAGAAGAUGGAUAAGAGAGCACUGGCUUGUGUUCUUGUUCUAUCCAGUCUCAAGGGCUGAUGAGGAAGACCAGAUCCUAAAAAAAAAUGAACCUUCCUAGGUCCUCUGUCUGUUGGAUGGGGUGAAGGCAGAGUCUUCUGAACAUCGCAUGGCUAGGCAGAGGUGAAGGACGACCUUGUUGAUGAGAAGGAUGGAGCGCACUAAGCUCCCGUGUGGAAUGCUCACACCACUGUGGGAACCCACAGCUGCUGCAGAGUCAACCUGGCACCAUGCCCACCAUUUUCCUUACGACUCCUGCCCUGAGUGUUAGUUACCUUACUUCAGAAAUUGAAUCCACAGUGCCUUUCCUCCCCUCAAUGCUUUCCCUGAUGCCUUUCCCUGGCUCCUGUCCCACUUUAGAGUCCCACUCUUGUCCUUGUCAGCACUUCCCUCUGAGCCUGAUCCAAGGUUCUUGCCUCACUUUGCUCUGAGAGGUUUCUUCAGAGACCAUUGCUCCCUCUCCAUCCUGCAUAGCUACCCUCUAGAGAUUCCUCUGAGCACUUCAACUGGAGAGGUGCUCUUUUUUUUUUUUCUGUGAAAAAAAACUGUCUUCCCCUGAGCCGGAGGUUGAAUGUUCCCCUGUGUUCCCCAAUAUUUGCUCCUUGAAUAUAUUGUAAUUUUGCUAAGCCUCUGCUAUGUGUCGCCAUUCACCAUUCCCUGUAAACGCACAGUCAUUCUUCCAAAGACCUUAACAUGGGAGAACAUCCAGUGUCAAGGUCAUAGCAUGGCGGUGCCGAGCCAAAGGCUGCCUGACUAGUUUGUGCGAGAGCAGCAUCAUAGGAUUGGCAUCUGUGCUGAUUAAUUUUAACUGUCAACUUGACACAACCUAAAAUCACUGGAGAAGAGAGUCUUAGUGAGGAAUUCCUAGAUCAGGGUGACCUGUGUGAUCUGUGAAGGCGUGGGCGGUGAACAGCAUUGAUUGAUUGGUAAUAGAGGUAGGGAGACCCACCCUAGAUGUGGACAGCACCAUUUAAUGAGCUGAACCCAGACAGCUAGCUGAGCAUAAGCAGAAAGGCGGCGUAGAUGUCUUGGUCUCUUUGUACUUAACUGUGGAAGGCGGAUGGCAUGCUGCUUCAGAUUCCUGCUGCUGCAACUCCCUUGCGAUUGUGAAUUGUAACCUGGAAUUCUGAGACAAAUAAGCCCUUCCGUCUCAUCAGAGUCUUUUAUUACAGGAACAGAAGGGAAACUAGGACAGUAGGUCACAUGACAUCCUUCAUUAGGAGCAAAUUCUGUGCCCCAAUGUCUUGUAUUGCUCAAUGUAUUGGUUGGUUCAUGGGGUUGCUGUGACAAAGUGCCUGACAAAAAGUCCAAGGGAAGAAGAGCUUAUUUUGGUUCACGGUGUGAGCGGAGAGCCCAUCACGGUGGAGAGGGAGUGGCACGCAGGGUGGGAAGCAUCUGGUUACAUUGGUACUGAGGUCCAAGAGCAGAAAGAGUCAAAUGCUGAUGCUCAGAUGUGUUUUUUUUCCCUUUAAUUUUCUUCUCUUUUCUUCCUUUCUCAGUCUGGGAUCUAUAUCUAUACGUCAGUAAUAUCGACAUUCAGGGUUAGUCUUCUCUCUUCAGUUAAACCUCCCCAGAAACACCCUCACAGACAUGUCCGAAGGUGUGUCUCCUGGGAGAUUAUAAAUCCCAUUAAGUUGUCAAUGCAGUACAACUAUCACAUUUAAAAGACUAUUUACAGAGUGUCUAUGGUAGGCCAGACGUCAUUCUGUGUUCUAUAUAGCUUGAUCACUGAACAAAGCAGGAAGAGAAAAAUGUUGCCAUUAUCACAGAACCUAUCCUCCGGUAGAAGCAAAACUCCACAAGGUUGCACAGAAGUAAUUGAAAUGGAGAAUGAAGAAGGCAGUGACAGUUUAUGAAAAGAAAAUAAAUCAAGGAGUGGGAACAUAAACUAUGAGAAGAAGGACAGUAUAUCAGGGCACCAGGGAAACGUCCCUGAGCAUUAAGUGGCUUCUGCUUGGUAGGCCUUGCUCUGGGGAUCAUGUUCCAUGCAUAGCUCCCUCCCAGGAAGCAGGAGUUGAAGCACAAGUUAUAACACCUAACCAGAAGACACUCCAUGGCCUCAGAUGUAUUUGAAGAAAACUACAGUUUGAUUGUAUGCCCCUUGUAUCUUCCCUCAUUUUCUCCCCUGGAAGUUCCUUCUCAGUCCAGCAUCAUCUUUCUUGAGAUGAUGCCUUUUAAUUUCCACAAAUUGACUUUCUACAAGACCUACUAUAGUAAAAGAUUAAGUCUCUGGAGAUCUUUGACCCUAAAUUGACCCAAUGUCAGAAAAAAAUAUAUAUAUACGUAUAUAUACAUAUAUAUAUUUCCUAGAGGAACAUCAAUAAAAUUCUUCAUUCUUAAAAAAUGCAAACCGCUCUCUCAUAUGCAUACAUACAUACAUACAUACAUACAUACAUACAUACAAACAUACAUACAUACAUGCUAUCCCUCAAUCCUAGGCAAAGACAAAAAACAGACUCUUUCUAAAGAGGUGAUUUUUAACCUGCCAUGCUAUUCUGCACUUCCCGGAGAAUCUUAUAAAAGAUACGAAAACAGACUCAGGACGAAGCGUGCUAUUUCUUCCAGGAGGCUAUAGGUUUCACACAGUAUUGGAUGCCCCCACACCACUGAGAUUUAGAACACCUGAUGUGGAAUGGAAAGGUCUUCUUGUUCAGAAAGCGAUUAGAUCUGCCAAGAUCUGUCAAACUUCAGAGCUACAGCUUGAGUGUCCCUGCUUACUAUAAACAUACCAUGACUUACGGUCCGCAAAUAGGAACCUAAUCUCUCCCAUCGCAUCGGAACAGCCACAAGGUGAGAGUUAGUGGAAGGAGGUGGUGACAGUUCAGCUCAUACUGCCCUCUUUGGAGUUAGCACCAUCAAACAGCUGCAUGAGGAACCCUCUGGGCACAGCCUCGCUGACCCUUUACUAGCUUCUCUGUGACCCUCUCUGCUAGCAGCCCUGUCCCAGGAGAAGCACUGAGUUAUGCAAACAGAUUGAGCUGUCUUAGAAGGAUUUUUUUUCCCCUUCUCGGUGUCAGUGAGUGUUCUUCUGUCCUAACAUUUCUUCUCUAGACUCACCUGGAAUGGCCCCAGAAAGCUGUCUUUAAGUCCUGAAGCUCUGAUCCAGCAUGCAAGGAAGAAAUUAAGUGGGGGGUGGGGGUGGAGAGAAGAAAUGCUACUGCAGAGAUAUUUUUCAUCUGCAUACCUGCUAAUCUACCAGAGCUGCUGCUCUGUGGAUUUGAGCUUAAACACUGAAGCUAAAGACUCCCCUCGGCGCAUUGCUACCACUGGGAACUGGUCCAGAAGAUGUAACGAUUAAAAUAUGUAUCUAUGUUUUCGCCUUUUGUUUUUGUAUCAAAAAAGAGAGGUGCUAUUACUCUAAUUUUAAUAAGUUUCAGAAUGCUUCUCCCACUCUUUUCCUGUUCCCACACGUUCUCCUCUCUAGCUGCAUUGGCUUGUGAACUUGGUGUUCUCACUGAAGGAGUCGAAACGGCAAUUUGUUUAGGAUGGUUGGAGCCAGUGCUGCUUUGACAAAGCAAUGUAGUCAUUAUCUGGUGCUUGACACGUUUGCAAUCCAUUACACUGGGGUGUGUAGGAGGGACAGUUUUGUUGCUUUGGUUAUGCUAAAUCUAUCUCUAGGAUCCUCCAGGAGUGAACUGAUUUAUCAUCAGGAGAGUGAGGCAGCCCGAAGAGCAGCAUAUGGGUUCCAAAAUGCAAAGUCCUCCUCUCUGCUGACUGGGAACUGCAGCCCAGCCUUCUUGAGAAGCACUUUGUCAGCGGGAAGAGAGAAAGGAGACCCACCCAUGAGAAAGGACACUCGGGUUUCUUUGAUUGUCUGUAGCUCUACACAGAUCUUCUUGUCCUCAGUGAAGACAACCUCAGUCAGAAAAACUCAACACCAUGGCUGAAGAAUCUAGGAAAGGAAGUCGUUAGAUUUUAUUCAUUCAUUUAUCAGUCUGAUGGUUGGCUGUGAGUAUCUGCAUCUGUGUUGGUUAGGUGCUGGUAGAAGCUAUCAGGUUCCUGUCAGCAAGUUCUUCUUGGCAUCAGCAAUAGUGUGGACAUUUGGUAUCUGCAGAUGGGAUGGCUUCCUAUGUGGGGCAGUCCCUGAAAUAACCUUUCCUUCAGUCUCUGUUCUACACUGGACUAACAUACUGUGUCCACAUGGUUGCCCCACACUUCUGCAAGGUGCGGCACUGGUAUGUAUAAGGCAGUGUCUAUGUAAGGGUAGAUCAUGGAUCAAGGUCUCAGUCCUGUCCUGCAGAAGGAGCAUGCGAGGGCAGUUACCUCAAGCAGGGCAACAUGCGAAAACACAUUUACCAUGACUGUUAGCAAAAGUCCUUGACAUCGGGUGGAAAGUGGCCAGUGUGUGGCAAAACACCUUAAGAUACAAUACAUAGACCCAGUUCCCAAGCGCAAAAUGGCAAGAGUGUUACAUCUGGAAGUCUGCUGCAGAGAACUAGGGGUUAGAGAUUUGACAGACAGGGAAAGAAGGCAUAGUAUGUGCCUGGAUAGAUGGAGAAAUUUGGUCUUUUCAAUUAAAUCUUACAGAUUCUCCUGAUCUGAGAAUAAGACCAGGAUAGUUUUGGUUAGAUAUUUCACAGCAGAAUCUGACAAUAAUAUCGAUUUGCUGAUAAAAACAAAAAUAGUCCCUUGUAGCUGUUGGGAGUUAAUGACCCACCCCCCUCUCCUGGUGAGUCUUUCAUGUUAUCUCUGGGUAUGCAUGGCAUCAAAAGGCAAGGCAGACAGACUCAGGUCCCUCUGGACUCUAACCUCAGUCCUUUGUGCCCUAGACAGCCCUGGGGUUUGUUUUAGUUCCGUUUGUUUUAUUUUACUAAGUUACAGAUUAUUUUCUGUUUAGAACACAUUGUGAGUAGUUGUAGGCUUAAGAGGAAAGAAUCACGGGUUGGGAAACACCCUCAGAAGGGUUUCACAGUCAUUUUUUCUUCAAAACCAGUCUGAGAUUCAUUCAACCUCCUGCGUCUUCUCACUAGACAUCACGUGGGCAAAGUCUCCAGCACUGGUGCCUGUGAACGUUGCUAUGAGUUUCCCGGCCUUCCCUAUUUCCUGCUUUCUGGACCCUCCCAUGCUGGACCCCUAAUGAGCAUUCCACUUUCCCAGUGGUACCCCAGAAAACCUCAGAAAGUGGGGAUGGACUCCUGGAUUUCUAAGCUUCCUUCUUAUGCUGGCACUUCUGGAAUUUUGUUGGCAGUCACUUGUACGUACGUCCUUUGCUUGUGGUCCUCAGAGGUCCUGGGCACAGACUCUGGCAGCGCAGCAGGCUGCUCUGUGGGUGACAAGCACGAAGGACCACCUGGGACAUCUGUUUUCCUCUCUUCUCAUUCUUGCCUUGCAGUCUUGCCCUAUAUUCCUCAAGAUUACAUAAGAAGGUCUUUAAUGGGCUGACUCUGAGAGGACUCAGUGAUAGCAGGAGAGACUUCAGUCGGUGCUGUACUUACAGGGGCGUACAACUUAAGAUUCCUGUAUACACUAAAGACCAGCUGAGACAUCUAGCCUGCUUCCUCAGGAUUCUGACAUAUAUUGACAUACAUUCUGACCAGCUGGGACAUCCAGCUUCAUGGACUGAACAAGUACUGAAUUCUUGGACUUCCCACUGGGAGACAGCCACAGUUGGACUAGUCGAAACACAGCCAAUGUACCUCCAUUCUAUCGGUUCUGUUCCUCUGGCGAGUUCUACUACAACCCUCCAUGCAGUUUUUUCAAGUUAGGAAAAGUAAGACUGCUGUUGAUGGUAAGGUACCAGCAUUAAUGAAAGCACUCCAGGCGUGAACUACUAGAUACCAAGUGCCAGCAUUUCCCAGGGCUUUAGAACAAGAGAAAGUUUUAGCACAUCUUGAGUUUAGCCCGAAUUCCCAAGUUUCACUGAUAUAAAGCUAGUUUCUAUGUUAUACGUUAGCUUGAUUCUAUUUUCUUCUGCUCAGCGUGAUGAGCAUGUAGUCUGUCUUGCAAGUGAAACCAUGUACUUAGCUAUUGUCGCUGCUUAAAUGGAAAUGCUUACCUUGCUUGUACUCAGUAAAUAACAUGAAAUGAAGGCUCCAAUUUCCUUUAGGCUCAUAUUCCUUUAACUUGACAGUGAUUCUAUGUUUAUCUUAGCUGUGUUAACUUCCAGCCCAUAGAUAUGAAAAUAGAAGGAUCCUAAGUGAGUUCCCAACAAAGGAAAGAAGCAAAAAUUAAUUCUAACCCAGAUUUCCUCACUAAAUGUAACUGGGAUGUUAUUUGUGAACCCUGCAUGAUUGUCUAUGCCCUCCUGUCAUAUCUUUAAAGGUCUGUUGGGACGUUUUGUUCUCUCUCUCUCUCUCUCUCUCUCUCUCUCUCACACACACACACACACACACACACAAACACACACACAAACACACACACAAACACACACACAUAACACACACAUAACACACACAAACACACACUAAACUACCUGAAUCUUAUUUAGCAUUCUUGCUGUUCAUCUUUCUCUAUGAAGGGCGUGUGGCUGCUGAGUUUUAGCAAGUUCUUCCCUUAUUGUCAGACAAUAUCCUAUAUGGGAGGAAUUGUCAAAUUCCAUUGAUAUUGGUUGUCAUCUACAACAGAGUCAAACUGAGCAGUCAGAACUAAAAACAAACAGAAAAAUUGGUUCCUGACACAGAGUUCAAAGCAAAUCAUGAGUUUGAGGCUCAAAGAAGUAAGAGGUCAAGAAGUAGGGCAUUCUUAAAGGUUAAAAAGAGGACAUUUACCAGGCAAAAACACUAGGUUUUGUUGAUGGAGCUUGGGAGAGGUUUCAUACCUUCCUGUUAGGGAUGGUCUUGGAUCCUCAGUGUUCUACUACUUCACUUUCAGCCACUCUAACCACUCACCUUUCAUAUGAGGAGUGACAAAGAACCAUCACUCUAUACUGUUCAAGGAUAUAAUUUUUUUUGGCUUUAACAGAGAGUUCUUAAGAAGUGACUAAUUAGUCUUUACAAUAUCUGUCAGUUAGGUAAUAGAUGAAAAGAAAGUACAUCCCCCCCCCAACUAGAACGAAGCCCCUUUUGGAACGGAAGUUUUCUGAGCUAUAACUAGAUAGCAUUUAAGACAGAAUGCUGAGGACAACAUAUGGGACAAAAAUCUAAAUGGAUGGAAGUAUGAAAAUAGGACAGGAAGCUAAAAUAGAUGUGCACUCAAUUUCUUUAGUAUAAAUAGCAUUGUCUAUAAUCUCAGGUACAUGAUUCAGCAAUUGCCAAUGGAAAUCAUUUCCAGUAUAUCAAAUGGGCAACGAUGGACAAAGGAUGGGGCACCACACUCAAACUUUAAAAAAAUAAAAUAAAAUUUGGCUCACUGUAAGAUUUGAAAAACUCAAAUUUUAAGUUUUCUUUCUUUCUCUUUCUUUUCUUCUCUUUCUCAGUAUCUCCUCCUCCUCCUUCUCCUCCUCCUCCUCCUCCUUCUCCUCCUCCUCCUC